AUAUUAAAUUAUUAUUAUAUUAUAGUAUAUUAUAUUAUAUAUUAUAUUAUAUAAAUAAGUAAAGAAACAUAAGAAACAGAAUGAAAGCAAACGAAACAGAGAAGAAACAGGGGAGAAAGAAAGAAAGAAAAAGAAAAAGGAAAAUUUGGGUUUCAAGGCUCAAAGUUUAAUUUGUCAAUGUGGUACCAGAAAUCUCGGCUAAGAAAGGACAAGACAAAGUCAACGGGAGUUAGCUCGAAAAUUACGGUUUGUAUUUCUAUAAUCCGAACCUAAUACUUAAUUGUUGAAUUUAUUUCUUAAUAUGUAUAUUAAGUGUUUUGAAGUAAGAAUUAUUGUGUUUUGCAAAUGAAAUGGAUUGAUAUAGUA